rnacentral:rRNA from 1 species
UUGAACGCUGGCGGCAUGCCUUACACAUGCAAGUCGAACGGUAACAGGUCUUCGGACGCUGACGAGUGGCGAACGGGUGAGUAAUACAUCGGAACGUGCCCAGUCGUGGGGGAUAACUACUCGAAAGAGUAGCUAAUACCGCAUACGAUCUGAGGAUGAAAGCGGGGGACCUUCGGGCCUCGCGCGGUUGGAGCGGCCGAUGGCAGAUUAGGUAGUUGGUGGGAUAAAAGCUUACCAAGCCGACGAUCUGUAGCUGGUCUGAGAGGACGACCAGCCACACUGGGACUGAGACACGGCCCAGACUCCUACGGGAGGCAGCAGUGGGGAAUUUUGGACAAUGGGCGAAAGCCUGAUCCAGCAAUGCCGCGUGCAGGAUGAAGGCCUUCGGGUUGUAAACUGCUUUUGUACGGAACGAAAAAGCUUCUCCUAAUACGAGAGGCCCAUGACGGUACCGUAAGAAUAAGCACCGGCUAACUACGU